rnacentral:rRNA from 1 species
AGUGAACGCUGGCGGUAGGCCUAACACAUGCAAGUCGAACGGCAGCACAGUAAGAGCUUGCUCUUACGGGUGGCGAGUGGCGGACGGGUGAGGAAUACAUCGGAAUCUACUUUUUCGUGGGGGAUAACGUAGGGAAAAUACCGUAAUUACGCCUACCGACCACCGGGUGAAGCAAGGGAACAUUGGGCCUUCCCCGGAUCGAUGGGCCGAUGUCGGAUUAGCUCGUUGGCGGGGUAAAGGGCCACCCAGGCGACGAUCCGUAACUGGUCUGAGAGGAUGAUCAGCCACACUGGAACUGAGACACGGUCCAGACUCCUACGGGAGGCAGCAGUGGGGAAUAUUGGACAAUGGGCGCAAGCCUGAUCCAGCCAUACCGCGUGGGUGAAGAAGGCCUUCGGGUUGUAAAGCCCUUUUGUUGGGAAAGAAAAGCAGCAGGUUAAUACCCCGCUGUUCUGACGGUACCCAAAGAAUAAGCACCGGCUAACUUCGUG